rnacentral:rRNA from 1 species
GACGAACGCUGGCGGCGUGCCUAAUACAUGCAAGUAGAACGCACAGUUUAUACCGUAGCUUGCUACACCAUAGACUGUGAGUUGCGAACGGGUGAGUAACGCGUAGGUAACCUGCCUGGUAGCGGGGGAUAACUAUUGGAAACGAUAGCUAAUACCGCAUAAUAUUAAUUAUUGCAUGAUAAUUGAUUGAAAGAUGCAACUGCAUCACUACCAGAUGGACCUGCGUUGUAUUAGCUAGUAGGUGAGGUAACGGCUCACCUAGGCGACGAUACAUAGCCGACCUGAGAGGGUGAUCGGCCACACUGGGACUGAGACACGGCCCAGACGCCGACGGGAGGCAGCAGUAGGGAAUCUUCGGCAAUGGACGAAAGUCUGACCGAGCAACGCUGCGGGAGUGAAGAAGGUUGUCGGAUCGUAAAGCUCUGUUGUAAGAGAAGAACGGGUGUGAGAGUGGAAAGUUCACACUGUGACGGUAUCUUACCAGAAAGGGACGGCUAACUACGUG